UCCCCUUUGGUGUACUUGGCUAGCAUACUUGACUUUCAAUCAUGAGAACAGGGUUCGAACCCCUGGAGGGGAG
rnacentral:tRNA from 1 species